AGCCAUGUGGUGAGCACAAAGCGAACUAUUCUUUCGCCUUUUACUAAAGAAUACCGUGUGCUCUCCACGCUAAAUGGCAUACGCCUAUUUUUGGAGGGUCCCGCUUUCGAGUGGGCCC
rfam:Brassica oleracea var. oleracea cultivar TO1000 chromosome C3, whole genome shotgun sequence